AGCAUCCUACUCUUGAUUUGGGCUCAGGUCACGAUCUCACAGUUAGUGGGUCGAGCCCUGUGACAGGCUCUGCGCUGACGUUGCAGAGCCUGCUUGGGAUUCUUUCUCUGCCCCUCCCCUACUCACUCGUACUCUCUCCCAAAAUAAAUAAAUAAACAUUUUUUUUUUUUUAAAGAAGAGUCUGUUCCUUGAUUUAUCACUCUUUUUUCCUGUGUUCAUCUGUUUUGGUUCUUUUUUUUUUUUUUUUUUUUUAAUUUUUUUUAAUGUUUUAUUUAUUUUUGAGACAGAGAAAGAGCAUGAGCAGGGGAGGGGCAGAGAGAGAGGGAGACACAGAAUCCGAAGCAGGCUCCAGGCUCUGAGCUGUCAGCACAGAGCCCGACGCAGGGCUCAAACUCAAGAACCGCAAGAUCGUGACCUGAGCCGAAGUCGGACACCCAACCGACUGAGCCACCCAGGCGUCCCUUUCUGUUUUGGUUCUUAAGGUUUUGUUUGUUAAAUUUCACAUAUGAGUGGAAACUUAAGGUUUUCAUCUUUCUCUGUGGCUUAUUUUGCUUAGCAUUAUACACUCCACCUCCCACCAUGUUGUUGCAAAUGACAAGAGUUCAUUCCUUUUGAUAGCUGGAUAGUACUCCAUUGUAGCUAUAUUCCACGUAUUCUUUUUUUUUUUUUUUUUUUAAACGUUUAUAUAUUUUUGAGAGAGAGAGAACGCAAACGGGAGGGGCAGAGAGAGGCAGAGGAUUCGAAGCAGGCUGCACGCUGAUAGCGGAGAGCCCAAUGUGGAGUUCGAACUCAGGAACCACGAGAUCAUGACCUGAGCUCAAGUCGGAUGCUUAACCGACUGAGCCACCAGAAGCCCUCCACAUAUUCUUUAUCCAUUUAGCAGUCGAUGGGCAUGUGGACUGUUUCAUAAUUUGGCUGCUGUAAGUAAUGGAGCAGCAAACAUAGUGGUGCAUGUAUCCCUUUGAAUUAGUGUUCUUAUAUUUUUUGGGGAGAUAGAUACCCAGUAUGUGGAUCAUAGUGGAAGAAGUGUGUAGGGUUUGGAAAAAAACUUUUUUAUGUUUAUUGAUUUUUGAGAGAGUGUGAGCAGGGGAGGGGCAGAGAGGGAGACAGAGGAUCCGAAGCGGGCUCUGUGCUGACAGCAGCAAGCCCGACAUAGGGCUCGAACUCACAAACUGUGAGAUGAUGACUGGAGCCGAAGUCGGACGCUCAGCUGAUUGAGCCCCCCAGGUGCCCCAGAAGUGUGUAGUUUUAAUGUCCACAUACUUAGGGACUUUCAGAUAUCUUUCUGUUACUGAUUUUCAGUUCACUUCUGUUACAACUGGGGACUAUGUAUACUUUCCGCUGUUUAAACUUUGUUAAGGUGGGCUGAGAGUCGUCUAGAUCUGUUAGCCUUACUGCUGUUUCUGACUGCUCUUUCCCUCAGGGAUACAGUUCUGAGAUCUCCAGCUGCCUCCUGAUCUGUUUCUCCUUUCAUGCUUUCUGAGGGGGUUUUUGUUAGGUGCCAGGAUCAUCACUAGAAGCUCCUUCCUUGGGGCUCCUUUCCAGGCAACCCCCUUCCAGGGGUAACCCUUCUUCUGACCUAUAAGAACUUGGAUUAGUUUUGUCUGGUUCUGUAUUUCACAUAAAUGGAAUCCUUUUGCACAUACUGUUGUUUUAGGGUUCUUACAUAAAACCUAAAAUUUGUGAGACAUGUUGUUGGGUAUGCUUAUAGAUCACUUAUUUGCAUUGCUGCAUUGUAUUUCUAAAAUGCUUUCUUUUUAAAUAAAAUAUUGAAAUGUACACACAUAA